CUACGUGCCAGCAGCCGCGGUAAUACGGAAGGUCCAGGCGUUAUCCGGAUUUAUUGGGUUUAAAGGGAGUGUAGGCGGUUUGUUAAGCGUGUUGUGAAAUUUAGAUGCUCAACAUUUAACUUGCAGCGCGAACUGUCAGACUUGAGUACACGCAACGUAUGCGGAAUUCAUGGUGUAGCGGUGAAAUGCUUAGAUAUCAUGAAGAACUCCGAUUGCGAAGGCAGCAUACGGGAGUGUAACUGACGCUUAAGCUCGAAGGUGCGGGUAUCGAACAGGAUUAGAUACCCUGGUAGUCCGCACAGUAAACGAUGGAUGCCCGCUGUUAGCGCCUGGCGUUAGCGGCUAAGCGAAAGCAUUAAGCAUCCCACCUGGGGAGUACGCCGGCAACGGUGAAACUCAAAGGAAUUGACGGGGGCCCGCACAAGCGGAGGAACAUGUGGUUUAAUUCGAUGAUACGCGAGGAACCUUACCCGGGCU
rnacentral:rRNA from 1 species